rnacentral:tRNA from 1 species
UGUACAAUUGCUGUUAGGUGAGCCCGCUUAGCUCAAAGGUUAAAGCAUCGCAUUUGUAA